GCCAACAGGAGACUACCACUACUCAGGUUGUGAUUUUUGGACGGACGCUGAAAAGAGUCUUUUCAGCGCAGCGUUCACGAAACACGGAAAAGACUUUUCACUCGCAGAGAAAAUGGUGAGGACAAAGACCGUGUCCCAGUGUGUGGAGUUUUACUACCUGAGCAAAAAGCUCCUGGACAAGCAGAAGAAGCUAA